UACGAGUGCCCCAAGCGUUAUCCGGAAUCAUUGGGCGUAAAGGGUGCGUAGGUGGCGCGGUAAGUCGGGUGUGAAAUCUCGGAGCUUAACUCCGAAAUUGCAUUCGAUACUGCCGUGCUUGAGGACUGGAGAGGAGACUGGAAUUCAUGGUGUAGCAGUGAAAUGCGUAGAGAUCAUGAGGAAGACCAGUGGCGAAGGCGGGUCUCUGGACAGUUCCUGACACUGAGACACGAAGGCCAGGGGAGCAAACGGG
rnacentral:rRNA from 1 species